AACGCGAAGAACCUUACCCAGAUUUGACAUGCACAGGAAGAUAUCAGAGAUGAUAUUGCCUUUCGGGGCCUGUGCACAGGUGCUGCAUGGCUGUCGUCAGCUCGUGCCGUGAGGUGUUGGGUUAAGUCCCGCAACGAGCGCAACCCUUAUCAUUAGUUGCCAACAUUUUAGGUGGGAACUCUAAUGAGACUGCCUGGGUUAACCAGGAGGAAGGUGAGGAUGACGUCAAGUCCGCAUGGCCCUUAUGUCUGGGGCUACACACGUGCUACAAUGGUCGGUACAGAAGGCAGCGAAGCCGCGAGGUGAAGCAAAUCCCAAAAGCCGACCUCAGUUCAGAUUGUAGUCUGCAACUCGACUACAUGAAGACGGAAUUGCUAGUAAUGGCGAGUCAGCAACAUCGCCGUGAAUACGUUCCCGGGCCUUGUACACACCGUAGUAC
rnacentral:rRNA from 1 species